rnacentral:lncRNA from 15 species
GUUAUAUAAUACUCAUAGGUAUAUUUUCUUUCUAGUGUAUGAACAUAUGUUUUUCGUUAUCUUAGAAUGAGACGUUUUUAUCUACAGAGGGAACACAUCCUCUUCCACAAAGACCGCCAUGUUGAACUGCCAUGUUUCUACAGUAACCCAGAACGGACAGACCAAACUGGCUCUAUGGCCUUUCACAGUUUGUACAAGUUUCACAGGCAGCAUAGUUUCUUCUGCAUGCUUCAAAAGGGAGGGUGAGUAGUUCCGGGCGUCACCAUUUGCUGCCCCUCCUCUCGUCCUUGUCCUCUCUGGUGCUGUACCUUCGUCGGCUGCAGCACUCUGCCUUCUUGUCCCUGUCACGGCAGCUACAGUCAGCCGAGGCCUGGCGCCUUCUUUGCCACUCCAGCCUGGCUCUCCUGAUCCUGUACAACCGACGACGCGAGUGUGAGGUCUCCAAGCUGUCCAUCGCUGAAUAUCGUGCUCGCAUCACUCCCCAGUGCCCUGUUCCUGUCCCACCUGGAGCCCCUCCAGCUCUCACCCCAUUAGAGGCUUCCCUGUCCCCCUUUGAGCGCCUGGUGCUUCCUCACCUCCCCAGAGUCGGGGUCCAGGGUAAACGUGGACGAGUCCAGCCCCUCAUCCUCCCCCCUCACUGUGAGCCCUGCCUGGAGCUCCUCCUGCAGACACGGCAGGAUGUGGGAGUCGACCCCGCAAACCCGUAUGUCUUUGCCAGGCCCUACCACUCCCCUGCCACACCACUGCGAGGCACCGACCUCCUCCGCAGCCUGGCCCGCUCAAGCGGUACACGCAAUCCCCGUGCCCUGACUCAGACCAGGGUUCGCCGGCAGGUAGCGAUACUGACCCAGCUGCUGCUGCUGGGAGAAGGAGAGGAGCCUGGGCAGCCUGGAGGCAGCGCUGUAGAGAGGCUGGAGCACUUCCUGGAAAGAGAGUAUCACGUGACACAGAACUGUGCGGGAAUUGGCCAAGACCCAGGCCUGAUGGGCAGAGUGGGCCGAGUUGUGCUUUGUGGAGAGAGAGAUGGAGUGCUGUUCAGAGGAAUGAGCCUGAACCACAUCUGCUUGGAACUGGAUGUUAUGUCAGGAAACUCUGCAGACUCGUACUCAGAGGGAGAGUCUGAAGGAGAGCAGGUGAAGGAGAAGCCAGAGGCCCCUGCCCCUGCUCCUGCUCCGAACCCUACACCUACCCUGCUGUAUGUCAGGAAGGGCAAGAACAACGGGCGGGUGGGACGACCCAAGAAGCUCAAGAACACCCAGCCAACCCCUCCACCUCCUCCACCUCCACCGGCAAACCGCAGGAGAGGCUCAGGUCAGCCCAAAUCAGGAAAGCGAGGUGUUCUAAAGCGUCCCUGGUCAGAGGCCGAGCGUGCGGCGGUCGAGGAGCACCUGACCCAAAACAUCACUGAGCUGAGAGUCCCCGCCAAGGCCGACUGUGAGCGCUGCCUGCAGCAGUGCCCCCUGCUGGUCAGCAACCACCGCGACUGGCGAGCCAUCAAGUUCUACUGCCACAACCGCAUUCAGCUGCUGAAGAAAAACCAGCGGCGUGAAAAGCUCCUCCUGUCCUUUCCCAGCCACACUACACGGUUUGCAGCUCGAGCAGAUUUUUGGUUUCUCUUCAGUGUUGCUGGAAAUCUGCGUCCAUCAGACUAA